GUGAUGAUUGACAUUGACGGAAAGAACGAGUGGAGAGACUGUAUCGACGUCCCUGGGGUGAGGCUCCCACUCCGAUAUUACUUUGGGGCCUCAUCAGCCACCGGAGACCUCACGGAUAACCACGAUAUCGUGUCCCUGAAGCUGUACCAGCUGAUGGAGGAGGGAGAGCACUUGCCGGGGAGGGGGACGGCGAGGAAGAGGAGGUGUUGACCCCCAGCGUGGACAACUUUGACCCACAUGAAGAUGCCCUCCCGGAGCCCAUGAGCGGCCUGGCUCUCUUUGCCGUGAUGCUGAUGUGUCUGGUGGGGGCGGUGAUCGCAGUGGUGAUCGGGAUCAUCAGCUACCAGAAAUGGCAGGAACAGAGCAGGAAGCGCUUCUACUGACCAGCUCCGCAGCUCCAUCCGGUCCGGAAUGUUCUGACCUCCCCCCCCCCACCACCACCACCACCACCAUCACCAACCCCGGUGUCACCCGGAUUUGUCCGAUGAUCCGUUUUCAGAGCCAGACACCACAACGGCGAACACUAACCG